AUUAACCACUUGGAAUGGCGUGAUCUCCGUCACUUAUGUAUUACCAGAUCCUAAUGUAAGCGGGAGCUCGACGAUGCCCUCAGGGAUAAUGACUCCACCACCAAAUCCCUGUAGAGGAGUUUUUACUGCUUUGAGCUGUUUGGGAGAGAUCCCCAUUUUGGCGAAAGCCUCCUGCGAGAGUAUAUUUGCUGCACUCCCAUUAUCAACCAGGAUCCUCUUUACUUCGAAGUUAGCCACAACUGUAGAGACGACCAAGACAUCGUCAUGAGGAUAUGAUAUUCCUUCCAAAUCUCUUGCUCCAAAAGUGAUGUCUUUGACUUCAUCACGGGAUUCCCUUGGGGUAUGAGCACGUCGACGGGCAUACUGCUUUCAC
rnacentral:lncRNA from 1 species